CCCCAAUGAUUCCUGUCAGGACACCUCGCAUACUCUCCGUGGAGGACCGUCUGUUACAACAUUGGGAGAUCCAUUGCCAUCUCGACUGUCUCAGCUUCGGCUGCAGGCUGAUAGGUGCCGUUUUGGUUACUUAUCAAGAGAAGGCUGUGCGUCUGAUGAGUUGAAGCCUUCCCUCGCCUUUACCGGCAUCCAAAGGAGCUUCGUAGUGAUGACACACACAUUU
rfam:Trichoderma harzianum strain T6776 Scaffolds0603.1, whole genome shotgun sequence.